GCAAGCAAGAGGGUUCGAGUUUGAUUUGAAGUCAUUCUUUUCACAAAGUAGUGUGAUGCUUGCU
rnacentral:tRNA from 1 species